rnacentral:rRNA from 1 species
UUGAUCCUGGCUCAGGAUGAACGCUAGCGGCAGGCUUAACACAUGCAAGUCGAGGGGCAGCGCGGGGCAGCAAUGUUCUGGCGGCGACCGGCGGAAGGGUGCGUAACGCGUGAGCGACAUGCCCGUUGCCCGGGGACAACCGGUGGAAACGCCGACUAAUCCCCGAUGGGACGGAGGCCCUCAUGGGUCUCCGUUGAAAGUUACGGCGGCGACGGAUUGGCUCGCGUCCGAUUAGCUUGUUGGCGGGGUAACGGCCCACCAAGGCUACGAUCGGUAGGGGUUCUGAGAGGAAGGUCCCCCACAAUGGAACUGAGACACGGUCCAUACUCCUACGGGAGGCAGCAGUGAGGAAUAUUGGUCAAUGGGCGGAAGCCUGAACCAGCCAUGCCGCGUGCGGGAAGGAGGCCCUAUGGGCUGUGAACCGCUUUUGCCUGGGGGCAAUAAGGGCGUCGUGCACGUCCGAUGAGAGUACCAGGCGAAUAAGCAUCGGCUAACUCCGUGCCAGCAGCCGCGGUAAUACGGGGGAUGCGAGCGUUAUCCGGAUUCAUUGGGUUUAAAGGGUGCGUAGGCUGUGCGUCAAGUCAGGGGUGAAAUUCCGGGGCUCAACUCCGGGGCUGCCCUUGAUACUGUCGCGCUGGAGUGCGGAUGCCGCCGGAGGAAUGAGUGGUGUAGCGGUGAAAUGCUUAGAUAUCACUCAGAACACCGAUUGCGAAGGCAUCUGGCGAAUCCGUAACUGACGCUGAGGCACGAAAGCGUGGGGAUAGAACAGGAUUAGAUACCCUGGUAUUCCACGCCGUAAACGAUGAUGGCUAACCGCCGGCGACACACUGUCGGUGGCCAAGUGAAAGCGAUAAGCCAUCCACCUGGGGAGUACGUCGGCAACG